CAAGGUUAGAAUUAUCUUUAAAUCUUUGUUUCUGCUCUAGUGUGAUCUUCAGUUUUUAUUGAGUGUGACAAAGUAGAUGAUAUAGGAAAUAUACAUAAAGUGAUUUGGGCUAAUAAUUCUUUGGCUUGACUUAUCCACAUUAUUGUAGGAAGACUUAACGCUGGCUAGAGGAGACUAGAUGAAUUAAAAAUCCCUUCUACUUGACAUCCUGUAGUUCUGAGAACUUUUGGGAAGGAAAGUACAUUAUAUUUAACUUGUAAGACAGUUUGUAUUCAUGGAAUCCACAAAGUUCUAGAAAAGUAUGAAGUUACACUGAAGAUUUGUCAUCAGAGGUGUAGAGAAAUGACUCAAUCGCCUCAUGAGAUCUGUGUGUUCAGUUUUUAUUUUUCCUAAUCUGUUUAAUGGCAGAAGUGGGCAGUGCCAUGGUCUCUUACACUACUAAAAACUAGUGUUAAAAAGUAAUGCUAAAAGUAGUUUAUCCUUACUCAGAAAAUUCUCCGUUUGACAAAGACUUUUUUUGAGAGAAAAAGAGAUAAUGUAUCUAUGGAUGUCUCAAGGGUAUUUUAGGUACAUUCAAUGACUGCACCAUCCUCUAAAGCACCUCCCUGCACUUGAUUCUCUUCCAAUAAAGGAGAAAAUCAACAGAAGCAAAGUUGACAGCCAAAAAAAAAAAAAAAAAAAAAAAAAAAAAAAGUCACGCUGCCUGUGACAAUGUAUCUGGGACACAAAGCAUUGACCUUGAAGCACUGGUCCAUUCAUUUGUGAAUGAUUUAAUCACUAGGACCUUUUAACAUCUGGGUCAUUGCUCCAUGGCAUGUGAUCCCAUGGAUCUCCCUUGCUCCUGUUUUCUCACAUCUAUCUUUAUUACUCAUCAAAAGGAAACUCGAGAUCUCCACUUCUAUGAGUAUUGGCUCAAUCUUACAUAGGGAAGAAGUGGGGGAAAAAUUGGGAACUAAAGAAAUUAUCAAACCAUUAUUCAUAGGUGAAGUCUACUGAAAAAUAUUCUCUAAUUAUUAAACUCAAAAUAUUUUCUACAUAUCUGUUA
rnacentral:lncRNA from 1 species